rnacentral:lncRNA from 1 species
CCCGGGCAGAGAUCAGGACUACCUGGGCGGCCCCCUCGGAAGCCCGCCUUCCUCUCCAGGGCACUGCUCAGAGAGUUCUGUAAUUUUCAUUUGCUCACCUGUCUCCCCAGUGGGCUGUCAGCUUCCUGAGAAGAGAGACUGGCUUCACAUUCCCAGGGACAGACACCUGCUAGGAGCUUCGCCAACGCUCGUGCAUGAAUGAAUGACUGAUGGGGGGCCUGCCAACUUCUCUCAUUGCCGUCUUGGCCUGGCUCUCUCUUUCUCCUCACGGCUUUCUCCUCACGGUGAGUGGAUUGCUGUUACAUUCAAACGAAAGAAUGUAAAUGAAAGGACUCAGUGAAGUGCCAUUCAUUCAUUCAUUCACUUAUUCACUCAACAAAUAAUUGUCGACGGACUACAGUGGAGCCAGCCCUGUUCUAGACCCCUGGGUGUAGAAAGACAGACUAAUGUCAUAGUUGAAGGUGGGGACUCUGGACUGCUCUGCCUUAGACUGGAUCCUGGCUUCCUCAGCCACUAACUGUGGGAUAGUUAAUUAAUAAGAAUACUGGAUUCAAAGGUUAUUGUUCAGUUUAAAUGAGUUAAAUAUUUGCAAGUCGUUUACAGCACGCCUGGCACAGAGGAGUCGCUGUAGAAGCCUUGGAUGGUACGAGAUCACUUUCUCUGACACGAACCACUAAGCAGUUAAAUUACGCUUUAAGAAGACAGCUGAAUAUCUUACCCUAAAAUAUAGCAGAAGAGUUAAAGGAACAGAGCAAUGAACACCAGUACGACCGGAUCCUUUGAAUAUGAAAUGAAGUUUUAAUUACUGAUCACUAACCGUUGAGAACACAGAUAUCUGGAAUGCCUGAAUUCAUUAGGUUCCAGGGUAAAGAUGAGUUCUACUGCUAUUAAAGCAUCUUAGGUUUCUUUUUAUUGAGCGCCAUUUUAAUUACACAAAUUAUACAUGAAUACAUUCCCUUUAUUAAAAAUAAUGAAAACAUCGAAUGAGGUUAAAGUUCCCUUUGACGUCGAUGGUACGCUGCAGAAACAUACGAGGGAAAAGCCCAGACCUCAGUGGCUUAAGUCAAAGUCCACCGCGAGGCAGUGGGCAUCUCGGUGCCACACACCCUCACUCACACCCCCACCGUGGCAGCUCCUCAACCAUCUAGAAUGUGUCACUAAGACAAGAAAGCAAAACGUGUACUAGACUGCCAUGGCAUCCGCCCCGAGGAUCACACACACUUCCCGUCCCUUUCCACCUGCCAGAGCCGGGCACGUGGCCACCCCCAGCUCCACAGGGUGAAGAAAGUCAAUCCUAUCAUGUACCUGACCUCACCACUUUCCAUGUGCGUGACCUUGGGAAAGUCACUUCAUGCUUCUGUGCCUCAGUUUCCUCAUCUGUAAAAUAAGAACAGAAAUACAGUACUGAUUUCAGAGGACUGGUAAGAGAGGUGAAUGAGAUGACAAAUGUAAGUGCUUAGAAUGGUGCUCAAUCAGUGUUAGCUGUGCUGAUGCUGAUGCUGGUGGAGACGAUAAUGACUCACGUCUAUAAACAAAGUAUGGUGUGUCUAAGAGUGAUACCAUAAUGCGACAUUGUUCUGUAAUUUAUAAGGAGUUGAAUUUUCAACACUAAUAAAGGAGUAAUCUUCCAUUGUAUUCCCUAAUUUUAGUGUGUCUGUAUAUAUACAUAUAACGUAAUGUAAAAUAAUAAAUAGAAU